CAGAGACACUGGUAGACCGGCAGCACAAUGAUGAUGUCACUGACUCUACUGCUGGCCACCCUGGGCCUCCUUGUUCAGGGUUCAUCAGGACAAAUCAUCCUGACUCAGUCUCCUGGAUCUCAGUCUGUUGUUGCAGGACAGACUGUCUCUAUCAGAUGUAAAACCAGUACAAGUGUUUGUAGCUACCUCAGCUGGUACCUUCAGAAAUCUGGAGAAGCUCCUAAACUCCUCAUUUAUUCAGCUACAACCCGUCAGUCUGGAGUUUCAGAUCGUUUUACUGGAAGUGGUUCUGGGACUGACUUCACUCUGACCAUCAGAGGAGUCGAGGCUAAAGAUUCAGGAGUUUACUACUGUCAGCAGGGUUACAACCUGUUCACACAGUGAUACAACGUCGUACAAAAACCUCCCUCAGCUGGAGGGGAACUGAUCUGACUCAACAGCUGCACUGAAACUAAAACAACAGAAGCUUGACUAAACUAAAAUAUAUAUUUAAUAAUAAUUGACGUUAAGCAUUUUAACACUAAAUAUACUUUAUCUAACUAGAAGUUAUACUGUAAAGUAUUUAAAUUAAAAAGGGUUUAAAACAUUAUGCUGCCCUGCGAUGGACUGGCGACCUGUCCGGGGUGUACCCUGCCUUUCGCCCGACGUAUGCUGGGAUUGGCUCCAGCCCCCCCACGACCCUGUGCGCGGGAUAAGUGGUUGACGAUGGAUGGAUGGAUGGAUGAAACAUUAUGCUGCAUAUAAAAGCUGACCUCUGUUGAAGAAUGAUUUCAACUCUUUGAGUUUAAUCCACAGUGUAUAACACAUGAACACUAAACCUGUAAAUAUUAUUCAUUUAUUUUAUAUCUUAUCACUUUUCAUUGA